GUCGGCUACGGCGAUAUGGCACCGAAAACCUACGUCGGCAUGUUCGUUGGAGCGUUGUGUGCCCUGGCCGGUGUGCUGACGAUUGCACUUCCCGUGCCCGUCAUUGUCAGCAAC
rfam:Aedes albopictus isolate Foshan contig148084, whole genome shotgun sequence.